rnacentral:rRNA from 1 species
UACGUAGGGUGCAAGCGUUGUCCGGAAUUAUUGGGCGUAAAGAGCUCGUAGGCGGUCAGUCGCGUCUGCUGUGAAAACUCGGGGCUUAACUCCGGGCCUGCAGUGGGUACGGGCUGACUAGAGUGCGGUAGGGGAGACUGGAAUUCCUGGUGUAGCGGUGAAAUGCGCAGAUAUCAGGAGGAACACCAGUGGCGAAGGCGACUUCCUGGCCUGUUCUUGACGCUGAGGCGCGAAAGCUAGGGGAGCAAACGGG